rnacentral:rRNA from 1 species
GGACUACCGGGGUUUCUAAUCCUGUUUGCUCCCCUAGCUUUCGCGCCUCAGCGUCAGGUUUGACACAGAGAACCGUCUUCACCACCGGUGUUCUUCCACAUAUCUACGCAUUUCACCGCUACACGUGGAAUUCCGUUCUCCCUUGUCAACCUCAAGCUCGUAAGUUUCAAAUGCAGCUCCAGGGUUGAGCCCUGGAAUUUCACAUCUGACUUCACGAGCCGCCUACGCGCCCUUUACGCCCAGUAAUUCCGAUCAAUGCUUGCACCCUCCGUAUUACCGCGGCGGCUGGCAC